UGGGGAAUUUUGGACAAUGGGCGCAAGCCUGAUCCAGCCAUGCCGCGUGCAGGAUGAAGGCCUUCGGGUUGUAAACUGCUUUUGUACGGAACGAAAAGACUCUGGUUAAUACCUGGGGUUCAUGACGGUACCGUAAGAAUAAGCACCGGCUAACUACGUGCCAGCAGCCGCGGUAAUACGUAGGGUGCGAGCGUUAAUCGGAAUUACUGGGCGUAAAGCGUGCGCAGGCGGUGAUGUAAGACAGAUGUGAAAUCCCCGGGCUCAACCUGGGAACUGCAUUUGUGACUGCAUCGCUGGAGUGCGGCAGAGGGGGAUGGAAUUCCGCGUGUAGCAGUGAAAUGCGUAGAUAUGCGGAGGAACACCGAUGGCGAAGGCAAUCCCCUGGGCCUGCACUGACGCUCAUGCACGAAAGCGUGGGGAGCAAACAGG
rnacentral:rRNA from 1 species